rnacentral:rRNA from 2 species
GGAUUAACGCUGGCUGUGUGCCUAAUACAUGCAUGUCGAGCGAAGUACUUCUGUACUUAGCGGCGAAUGGGUGAGUAACACGUACUCAACGUACCCUUCAGAUUGGGAUAGCGGUUGGAAACAACCGAUAAUACCAAAUACUUGUAAUUAUCGCAUGAUGAUUACAUAAAAGGCGCGUUUGCGCCACUGGAGGAGCGGGGUGCGUAACAUUAGCUUGUUGGUGAGGUAACGGCCCACCAAGGCGAUGAUGUUUAGCGGGGUUGAGAGACUGAACCGCCACACUGGGACUGAGAUACGGCCCAGACUCCUACGGGAGGCAGCAGUAGGGAAUAUUCCACAAUGGACGAAAGUCUGAUGGAGCGACACAGCGUGCAGGAUGAAGGCCCCAUGGGUUGUAAACUGCUGUGGUAAGGGAAUAAAAAAUAGCAUAGGAAAUGAUGCUACAUUGAAUGUACCUUAUUAGAAAGCAACGGCUAACUAUGUGCCAGCAGCCGCGGUAAUACAUAGGUUGCAAGCGUUAUCCGGAAUUAUUGGGCGUAAAGCGUCUGUAGGUUGUUUAUUAAGUCUGGCGUUAAAUUUUGGGGCUCAACCCCAAACCGCGUUGGAUACUGGUAAACUAGAGUUAUGUAGAGGUUAGCGGAAUUCCUUGUGAAGCGGUGAAAUGCGUAGAUAUAAGGAAGAACACCAACAUGGCGAAGGCAGCUAACUGGACAUACACUGACACUGAGAGACGAAAGCGUGGGGAGCAAACAGGAUUAGAUACCCUGGUAGUCCACGCCCUAAACGAUGAUCAUUAGCUGAUGGGGAACUCAUCGGCGCAGCUAACGCAUUAAAUGAUCCGCCUGAGUAGUACGUUCGCAAGAAUAAAACUUAAAGGAAUUGACGGGGACCCGCACAAGCGGUGGAGCAUGUGGUUUAAUUUGAAGAUACGCGUAGAACCUUACCCACUCUUGACAUCUUCCGCAAAGCUAUAGAGAUAUAGUKGAGGUUAACGGAAUGACAGAUGGUGCAUGGUUGUCGUCAGCUCGUGUCGUGAGAUGUUCGGUUAAGUCCUGCAACGAGCGCAACCCCUAUCCUUAGUUACUAACAUUUAGUUGAGCACUCUAAGGAGACUGCCCGAGUAAUCGGGAGGAAGGUGGGGACGACGUCAAAUCAUCAUGCCUCUUACGAGUGGGGCAACACACGUGCUACAAUGGCCGAUACAAAGUGAAGCAACCCAGCGAUGGUGAGCAAACCACAAAAAAUCGGUCUCAGUUCGGAUUGGAGUCUGCAACUCGACUCCAUGAAGUCGGAAUCGCUAGUAAUCGUAGAUCAGCUACGCUACGGUGAAUACGUUCUCGGGUCUUGUACACACCGCCCGUCAAACCAUGGGAGCUGGUAAUGCCCGAAGUCGGUUUAUUAACAAACUGCCUAAGGCAGGACUGGUGACUGGGGUUAAGUCGUAACAAGGUAUCCCUACGAGAACGUGGGGAUGGAUCACCUCCUUUCUACGGAGUACAAUGUCAAAAAUACUUUUUUGACGAACUAACCUUAAUCAGACCUAUUUACACAAACAUUUUUGUCAUGGCUUGUUAGGUCGCAAGCAUAUAUCUAGUUUUGAGAGGACAAUCUCUCAAAAUUGUUCUUUGAAAACUGAAUAGUAAAUAUUUUAAAAUAUUACAACGACAUCAAAAAUAUAAAUUAUAUCAAUUUUGGUUAAUUUGUUUUGAUUCAUCGAGUAGUCAUAAAUAUAUUAUGACUCAUUGAAAUGUCUUAAAAUACACAUCAAUAACAACAAUAGGAAA